rnacentral:rRNA from 1 species
CAGUGAUAAACUGGAGGAAGGUGGGGAUGACGUCAAGUCAUCAUGGCCCUUACGACCAGGGCUACACACGUGCUACAAUGGCGCAUACAAAGAGAAGCGACCUCGCGAGAGCAAGCGGACCUCAUAAAGUGCGUCGUAGUCCGGAUUGGAGUCUGCAACUCGACUCCAUGAAGUCGGAAUCGCUAGUAAUCGUGGAUCAGAAUGCCACGGUGAAUACGUUCCCGGGCCUUG